AGUUUUAUUCUUGCUUAUUUGUUCAGUCUUUGCUUGUUUUAUAUGUAAGUUUGUGCGUGAAUUUUGGCUAAGGUUUAAUCUAGAUGGUUCUUGGUUUGGUGUUGAAAAUUCUCAUUAGUUAGUAUUGGUUUAUCAAGUAUUCUUGUAUCCAGCAAUUCAUUUUAGUUUCGGUUGAAUUAGGUGCCAGCAGCCGCGGUUAUACCUUGGAAGCAUUUGAAUGUAUUUGGCGCAGGUAGUUGUAUGAGUAAUUUGUGUGGAUUGUGUAUUUUUGGUUGUUAGGUGAAAUUUUUAUUAUUUUUAUUUGUCUUUUAUACAUUUGGAGGCUAUUAAAUUCUUUUUAUAAACUAGGAUUAGAUACCCUAUUAUUUUGGAACGUUAAGUUAUUUAGUGCCUGAGUAGUACUAGUUAUGUUCUUGAAACUUAAAGAAUUUGGCGGUAUCUUAUUCCGUCCAGAGGAAUCUGUCUCGUUAUCGAUAGUCCGCGUUGGACCUUACUUGGUUUAUAUAUGGUUUGUAUACCGCCGUUUAUUGAUUAUCUUUUUAGGGUUGUAAAAUUUUCUGGUCUCUUGAGUUUGGUUAAUUUCAGGUCAAGGUGCAGCUUAUUUCUAAGUGGAUGAUGGAUUACAUUGUUAUUUGUUUUGAAUUGUUGAUUGGAAUGAUUGGCAUGAAAUUGGAUUUGGUUGUAAUGUUUUGGAGAUUGUUUUCAUGAUAAUUGGUUCUGAGAUAUGUACACAUCGCCCGUCGCUCUCGUUUGUUGUUAAUGAGAUAAGUCGUAACAAAGUGGUUGUACCGGAAGGUGUGGCUGGAGUGA
rnacentral:ncRNA from 1 species